ACUCGAGUGGCGAACGGGUGAGUAACACGUGGGUGAUCUGCCUUGCACUCUGGGAUAAGCUUGGGAAACUGGGUCUAAUACCGGAUAGGAACCGUCUCUAGUGUGGUGGUUGGAAAGUUUUUUCGGUGCAAGAUGAGCUCGCGGCCUAUCAGCUUGUUGGUGGGGUAAUGGCCUACCAAGGCGUCGACGGGUAGCCGGCCUGAGAGGGCGUACGGCCACAUUGGGACUGAGAUACGGCCCAG
rnacentral:rRNA from 1 species